rnacentral:lncRNA from 1 species
AUGAUUUCUGGAUUCCACCAGUUCUCAAUUAUCCAGGGUGGACAUAUCCCAUUUGUGGGCGAUUCAGGCCUCUUCUACCCACAUUUUGCCUGCUUUCUUCAUCACCGGAACAUCUGCCAGAUGAUUGGAGAAGGAGCAGAGUUUGAUUUUGAAGUUCUUACAAAGGUUGGUGGGAACAAGAAGUUGAAGCUAGCCACUAAGAUUUUGAUUUCCUGUCUCAGAAAGAGUUCAGCCUUGCCAGAGACAUAAUUUUGAUUUAGGCAAGUGUCAAGGGUGUUUUGCUCAGUUAUUUCUGUGUUUACUUAUUUAAUCAUACAUUCUAAAUUAGUGCAAAAUGUGAUUUCCCCUACCCUGCAGGCUGAAAGCUUCAAAUACAGCCUAUCCAAUGAGAUCCCAAAUCUCCUUAAUGUCAGAAGUCAUCAUUGGCAGUUGAAAUUUCACUUCUGAUACAAAUAUUGGCUAUUGAAACAGUGAUUUGUAAGGACAGCUCCUCCUUCCACAUUGAUUAUCAUGCCCUGGUAUAAUUGAAUAACCUAAGCACUGUGACUGAC